UACGUAGGGUGCAAGCGUUAAUCGGAAUUACUGGGCGUAAAGCGUGCGCAGGCGUUUUUGUAAGACUGUCGUGAAAUCCCCGGGCUUAACCUGGGAAUGGCGAUGGUGACUGCAAGGCUAGAGUUUGGCAGAGGGGGGUAGAAUUCCACGUGUAGCAGUGAAAUGCGUAGAGAUGUGGAGGAACACCGAUGGCGAAGGCAGCCCCCUGGGUCAAAACUGACGCUCAUGCACGAAAGCGUGGGGAGCAAACAGG
rnacentral:rRNA from 1 species